rnacentral:piRNA from 1 species
UACGAGAUCUAGCAGGUUCAUGG